rnacentral:lncRNA from 1 species
GCUAGCCUCACGCGGAGAAUGCAUGGUGNUGCUGCUGCUGCGCUGCGCGGAUACAUUUGGCGCAGCGAGGAGUCUUGGAAGCAAGCAGAGGCAGGAGCCCGGCCACUAGGGGACAUAACUAUGCCGCGUAUGGGCAAGUGCGUCUGUUAAAUUCGUUUUUCCAGUGCUGCCAGUUGGAAUUGGACUGCCUUUGAAGAGUAGAAGGAGUAGGGGCCAUAAGACCCCAGCCUGAGAAACGUGGAUGAAUUUGAGCACAGGUAACAGUUGAUUGUCAACUAAAACCAAAGGGUCCUUGGGCAACUGG